UGGAGCGUGUGGUUUAAUUCGAUGCAACACGAAGAACCUUACCAAGGCUUGACAUGCUAGUAGUAGGGACCCGAAAGGGCGACGACCGGCCUUCGGGCCGGAGCUAGCACAGGUGCUACAUGGCUGUCGUCAGCUCGUGCCGUGAGGUGUUGGGUUAAGUCCCAUAACGAGCGCAACCCCUGUUCUGUGUUGAUUUCUCACAGGAGACUGCCCAGGAAUUCUGGGAGGAAGGUGGGGAUGACGUCAAGUCAGCAUGGCCUUUAUAUCUUGGGCA
rnacentral:rRNA from 1 species